UGGGGGAUAUUGCACAAUGGGCGAAAGCCUGAUGCAGCGACGCCGCGUGGGGGAUGAAGGCUUUCGGGUUGUAAACCUCUUUCGCUAUCGAACAAGGCCCGCUUAGGGUGGGUUGAGGGUAGGUGGAGAAGAAGCGCCGGCUAACUACGUGCCAGCAGCCGCGGUAAUACGUAGGGCGCGAGCGUUGUCCGGAAUUAUUGGGCGUAAAGGGCUUGUAGGCGGCUUGUUGCGCCUGCUGUGAAAACGCGGGGCUUAACUUCGCGCGUGCAGUGGGUACGGGCAGGCUUGAGUGUGGUAGGGGUGACUGGAAUUCCAGGUGUAGCGGUGGAAUGCGCAGAUAUCUGGAGGAACACCGAUGGCGAAGGCAGGUCACUGGGCCAUUACUGACGCUGAGGAGCGAAAGCAUGGUUAGCGAACAGG
rnacentral:rRNA from 1 species